GACGAACGCUGGCGGCGUGCUUAACACAUGCAAGUCGAGCGGUAAGGCCCUUCGGGGUACGACGAGCGGCGAACGGGUGAGUAACACGUGGGUGACCUGCCUCUAGCUCUGGGAUAAGCCUGGGAAACUGGGUCUAAUACCGGAUAUGACUCCACGGCGCAUGUUGUGGGGUGGAAAGCCUUGUGUGGCUAGAGAUGGGCCCGCGGCCUAUCAGCUUGUUGGUGGGGUGAUGGCCACCAAGGCGACGACGGGUAGCCGGCCUGAGAGGGCGACCGGCCACACUGGGACUGAGACACGGCCCAGACUCCUACGGGAGGCAGCAGUGGGGAAUCUUGCGCAAUGGGCGAAAGCCUGACGCAGCGACGCCGCGUGA
rnacentral:rRNA from 1 species